rnacentral:lncRNA from 1 species
AGAGUUAAAUUGUCUGCCAAACUCUGCUUUAAUGUCAAACUGUCGCUUUUACAGAGAAGAUAAAAGCUCAAAACAAACAAAAAUUUAAAAUAAAAUCACACAAAUCCACUGCAACUUUCAAAUAGCAUGCAGACAGCAGGGUGCCUUAUAAACAUCCCUGCUUACAAAGUCACCUUUUGAAAUACCAGCAAUUAUACUGCAUGAGGCACAGUUGCUACUCAUGUGCCAGUUGUCACUUUUUAAAAGAUGACUAUUAGUUAUAUUUCCUCCCUAUGAGACAUUGUGAAGCUUCUUAGCAUUUUGAGAAAGCAAGCAUGUAUUCCAAAAUGCAUAUAUCCUAGAAAAACAAACAAACAAACAAAACCCAAACCCACAACCAAACAACUUGGCAUUUAUAAAUGGCAUAGGAUAUUCAUGGCAUAACUAGAAGCUCAUUUUCUGUUGCAGGUGAGGGCUGCUGUCUGCACUCUCACUGCAACCUCACCAUGGAAAGACUGCCAUAAAUAUGUACAACAUGUAGGAGACCAAAAAGGAAGAAAGCAGGAGCAAGUUGUGGAAUAGAAAGUAAGUCUAUAACACCAGCUCUGGUGUUAAAAUAUUUUUGUAUCCAUUACACAGAGUUCCGACUGCUGUCCUUGCACCACUGUGGUUUUUUAAGCACUUUAAAAAUUUCUAAUAAAAAUGCUCUUUUAGGUUCAUUGAACACUUUACAUAAAAAGAAAGAAAAUUGAAAGCAUGGCUCAAAGGCUGUGAAGUAACAUGGGGUUUUUAGAUGCUUCUUCAACCUCAUGUUGGUCUCAACCCAUACUCAUAGAAAUCGGGAAUGCAGAGACAGAUUUAGCAAAAGGGUUUGGUUUGUAGAAGCUUCCAAAUCUCUCUGUUAUACUUUCUUACUCUGUGUCUGACAUUAAAGAUGCCAUUAGAGAUGGAGAAGUGGCAGAGACAGAAGUAGAAAUACUGUUCUUGGGGUGGGGUAGGGGGAACAAACCCAACCAAAGACCUUUCCAAAAUGCCAACCAAGGCUUUACAUCACUGCUCCUUUCUUCUCUCUGCAUGCUUAACAGUGAAUCAGCUGAACAGAAUGAAACAGGACUCAGGGUCAUUGCUGGAAGAGGUAGAAGGUAUAAGCCACCAUGGGGUUUGAUGCCUACUGCUCUAAAAUGUUAUUGCUUCUGAUUUCCAUGUAGGGAGGAAACAUCUUCAUUGUUAUGGGUAAGUAGUCACAGGAGAACAUGCAUUAAAUCAAAGUUAAUCAAUACUGUGCUUAACAAUGCAUUACCUGGAAAAGCAAAACAGAUGCUUGAGAAGAGCAGAAUUUCCAUGUUUUGUGUACGUCAGUUCUAACACAGUUUUUUGAGGAAUCCUAACCAGAUCACCCCCCCUUAUUUUUCAGAAAGAACAAAAAUUUUCUGCUUGCUAUAUCAGAUCUGACCUCUAGCCUCUUAUGAAAGAAUUGUCUGCAUCUUUUUCCCUUAAUUUUGGAGUAUGCCAAGAAUAGUUCUCUUCAAGGACUUGGUUUCAUUUGCUCUGAGAUCUAGAAAAUUUGUUUUCGCCACCAUAUUUGAAACACCUUUAAUUCUUGAGAAGAGGAUGAAUCUUACAAUUUAGUUAAACUGAAUGUGAUUUUUCUGUGGUUGCAUUUAUGAGAAAGGAGGUUACCACUCCAUGACAAGCACAAAGUAUUUGGGUAACAACAGACCUGUGUGUCCCACAAAUAACCCUUGCUUUUUACAAGUUUUGGUGGAGGAUCACUGCUAGAUUUGAGGAUAGCUGGCAACCUUUUUUCUCAAGCUAGAGAGCUCAAGAAGAGCUAUUUAAGGCUCCUCUGUAUGGAGAAGCUGUUGAGGAAUAAGCUAGUGGGAGAAGUUAAAGAACAAAAGACGGUCUCUUGGAAGAGGUUGUAGUACCAGACUGCUUCUAUGGAGUGCAGUAGCCAUGUUGGAAGCCCCUAAUUCCCUGAAUAGGGGUGGCAUCUUGGUUUAGAGUCCACUGUUCUAGUGUCACUUAAUUAUGAGGAAAUCCAAUUUUUCAUAAAUAGAGCACAAAAGGCAGAAAAAGAGAUUCUAGACAUAAUUUUGUUUCUGAGAACAGCAUAGAGCUUAAGGGGUCUGGGCAGAAUACAAACAAAAAGAACCCCAAGUUGAAGUACUCUUAAAGUCACAGUUUUUCAACAUGGCCUUUAAAGUCCAUAAAAAACAGAGUGUGGUGGCAGAUCAGACUUAUCAGUAGCCUGAAUCUCUAAGAAGCACAAUAAAACUGAACCAAGCAGAGCUUAAACAGUUAACACUAUGCAUAGAAUAGUUUCCAGGUAUUUAACUAAUUCAAUUAAUAAACUAUUUUAACUAACCUUUUGCAAAUUUUGUAUAUCAGCAUUCAUCACUGUGAUCUGAGCAUAACUACCUCAUGCUACCUCCUUAGAACCAAAAACAUGACAAGAUGAAUAUAAAAGUAAAAUGGUCUCAUUCAACAACACAGUCCAAGAUAGGUGAAAUAUAAAUAAGAAAACAGCCAUAUAUAGCUAUAUAGCCAUAGUAGUUUACACAACUACUGACAGUGAUGCUAAGAACAGAGCUGGCUGCACAAUUUCAAUCUUCUGUGUGCACUUUUGUUUCAAAAUACCUGAACGUGUGCAUGUGUGAUGCUUGUUUCUUCAGAUUCUAGCUGAGACUGAAAGGGGAACAAUGUCCAAAUCCCUUUUAAUCUCUCAUUAUUGUUUUGGCACAGGAAGAGCUCUCAGUCAAUCAUUUGCAUCCACUGGCUACAAGCAACUUGGUAUGACGUUUAACUCAAUGUGCUUUGUCCUUUCCAGUGGUGUGUCUUUG